rnacentral:rRNA from 1 species
GGGGGCAACCCUGGCGGCGAGUGGCGAACGGGUGAGUAACAUAUCGGAACGUGCCAAGAAGUGGGGUAUAACUAGUCGAAAGAUUAGCUAAUACCGCAUACGCCCUAAGGGGGAAAGUGGGGGAUCGCAAGACCUCAUGCUUGUUGAGCGGCCGAUAUCUGAUUAGCUAGUUGGUAGGGUAAAAGCCUACCAAGGCGACGAUCAGUAGCUGGUCUGAGAGGACGACCAGCCACACUGGGACUGAGACACGGCCCAGACUCCUACGGGAGGCAGCAGUGGGGAAUUUUGGACAAUGGGGGCAACCCUGAUCCAGCAAUGCCGCGUGAGUGAAGAAGGCCUUCGGGUUGUAAAGCUCUUUUGUCCGGGAAGAAAUCCCAUCUACUAAUACUGGGUGGGGAUGACGGUACUGGAAGAAUAAGCACC